CAUCCAGCAUCCAGCAUCUGUAGGAGACAACCCCUACACUCCUUUUUCACAUUUUGUCUAUAUCGGUGACUUC